rnacentral:rRNA from 1 species
CACGUGCUACAAUGGAUGGUACAACGAGUUGCGAACUCGCGAGAGUAAGCUAAUCUCUUAAAGCCAUUCUCAGUUCGGAUUGUAGGCUGCAACUCGCCUACAUGAAGUCGGAAUCGCUAGUAAUCGCGGAUCAGCAUGCCGCGGUGAAUACGUUCCCGGGCCUUGUACACACCGCCCGUCACACCAUGAGAGUUUGUAACACCCAAAGUCGGUGGGGUAACCUUUUAGGAACCAGCCGCCUAAGGUGGGACAGAUGAUUAGGGUGAAGUCGUAACAAGGUAGCCGUAGGAGAACCUGCGGCUGGAUCACCUCCUUUCUAAGGAA